GACGAACGCUGGCGGCGUGCUUAACACAUGCAAGUCGAACGGAAAGGCCCUGCUAUUGUGGGGUGCUCGAGUGGCGAACGGGUGAGUAACACGUGAGUAACCUGCCCUUGACUUUGGGAUAACUUCAGGAAACUGGGGCUAAUACCGGAUAGGAGCUCCUGCUGCAUGGUGGGGGUUGGAAAGUUUCGGCGGUUGGGGAUGGACUCGCGGCUUAUCAGCUUGUUGGUGGGGUAGUGGCUUACCAAGGCUUUCACGGGUAGCCGGCCUGAGAGGGUGACCGGCCACAUUGCGACUGAGAUACGGCCCAGAGUCCUACGGGAGGCAGCAGUGGGGAAUAUUGCACAAUGGGCGGAAGUCUGAUGAAGAGACGCCGCGUGCGGGAUGACGGCCUUCGGGUUGUAAACCGCUUUCGCCUGUGACGAAGCGUGAGUGACGGUAAUGAGUAAAGAAGCACCGGCUAACUACGUG
rnacentral:rRNA from 1 species